UCGAGUCUAAAAAACUCCCUAAACCAUUGUGACUUACCUAUUCGUUGCUUCGGUGGGCGACCCCGCUAGGGGUCCUUGGUCGCAAGGCGCCCGCCGAAGGUUAUUUAACUCUUGCUUUUUAUUGUCACAUCUGUAGUUAUUACAAAAAUUAUA
rnacentral:misc_RNA from 1 species